CGUUUUCUCAAUAUCAAACAUAGAAAGUUCACUAAGAGAAAUAAUGGAGGAGAGUAGAACUAUGUUGAAGUCACUGAUCUUACUAAUGAUGAUUUCCAGUUUUUGCCUCGAACUCACCGUUGCAGAAACCUACUGCCAUGCUCAACGUCGCUUGUUAAUUGACGCGUGCAAGAUAUUAAUUUUUAGGCAGGCUCCCCCCGCUGAAUGUUGUCGUAGAAUAAGAACGACUCCAGCGUGGUGCGUUUGUCCUUCUGUAACACCACAAAGAGCGGCUCUCAUCGAUGUCAACUACGCUGUUGGGGUAAUUCGUCAAUGCGGUCGAUAUGUAGCCCGCGGUACCAAAUGUGGAAGUAUUACAGUUCCAUAAAAAAAGCCGUUCGAGACAAUGGAGACGAAAAUAUCGUUGCCUGAAAACUAUCGUCCGUACUGUAUGAGUAUUCCACGUUGUAUCUGUUUUAAUAUUUGGGCAUUAUCGUUGGUCUUAUUUUUAUGUAGAAUAAAAUGAUGUCUUUUGAAAAAAAAAUAAAAAAAAAAAUAAAUAAAAUGAUGUCUGAAACUUUAUAUAUUUUCUA